rnacentral:rRNA from 1 species
CAGUAGCCACGGUAAAACGUAGGCGGCAAGCGUUGUCCGGAAUUAUUGGGCGUAAAGCGCGCGCAGGUGGUUUCUUAAGUCUGAUGUGAAAGCCCCCGGCUCAACCGGGGAGGGUCAUUGGAAACUGGGAAACUUGAGUGCAGAAGAGGAGAGUGGAAUUCCACGUGUAGCGGUGAAAUGCGUAGAGAUGUGGAGGAACACCAGUGGCGAAGGCGACUCUCUGGUCUGUAACUGACGCUGAGGAGCGAAAGCGUGGGGAGCGAACAGGAUUAGAUACCCCUGUAGUCCCUGUCUCUUAUAC